rnacentral:tRNA from 1 species
GCCCGGCUAGCUCAGUUAUUAGAGCACGAGUGUCUUAAUCUCAGGGUCGUGGGUUCGAGCCCCAUGUUGGGCG